rnacentral:rRNA from 1 species
GACGAACGCUGGCGGCGUGCCUAAUACAUGCAAGUUGAGCGCUGAAGGUUGGUACUUGUACCAAAUGGAUGAGCAGCGCACGGGUGAGUAACGCGUGGGGAAUCUGCCUUUGAGCGGGGGACAACAUUUGGAAACGAAUGCUAAUACCGCAUAAAAACUUUAAACACAAGUUUUAAGUUUGAAAGAUGCAAUUGCAUCACUCAAAGAUGAUCCCUCGUUGUAUUAGCUAGGUGGUGGGGUAAAGGCUUACCAAGGCGAUGAUACAUAGCCGACCUGAGAGGGUGGUCGGCCACAUUGGGACGGGGACACGGCCCAAACGACUACGGGAGGCAGCAGUAGGGAAUCUGAGGCAAUGGACGAAAGUCUGACCGAGCAACGCCGCGUGAGUGAAGAAGGGUUUCGGAUCGGAAAACUCGGUUGGUAGAUAAGAACGUUGGUGAGAGUGGAAAGCGCAUCAAGUGACGGUAACUACACAGAAAGGGACGGCUAACUACGUG